UCAUUGCUGAGGAGUCCCAUAAUAGGGCGAAACGACCGUCCUGUGC
rnacentral:hammerhead_ribozyme from 1 species